rnacentral:piRNA from 1 species
UGAGAAAUCGAUUUUCCUUUG